UUAGUAGUGCGACUCUAGAGGUGAAAUUCUUGGACCGUCGCAAGACUCACUAAAGCGAAAAGCAUUUGCCAAGAAUGUUUUCAUUAAUCAAGAUCGAAAGUCAGAGGUUCGAAGGCGAUCAGAUACCGCCCUAGUUCUAACCAUAAAUGAUGCCAACCAGCAAUCAGCCUGUGUUCUCUUGAUGACACGGCUGGCGGCUUCCGGGAAACCAAAGUCUUUCGGUUCCAGGGGAAGUAUGGUUGCAAAGCUGAAACUUAAAGGAAUUGACGGAAGGGCACCACCAGGAGUGGAGCCUGCGGCUUAAUUUGACUCAACACGGGGAAACUCACCCGGCCCGGACACUGUGAGGAUUGACAGGUUGAAGCCCUUUCUUGAUUCAGUGGGUGGUGGUGCAUGGCCGUUCUUAGUUGGUGGAGUGAUUUGUCUGGUUAAUUCCGAUAACGAACGAGACUCUAGCCUACUAAUUAGACCGUGGCGUCCUUCGGGCCGCCACGGCGCUUCCUAGAGGGACAGACGGCGUUUCAGCCGU
rnacentral:rRNA from 1 species